AUGGCACUGGUGGUGAGGGGUGCUGGUGAUGUGAUGGCGUGGUGGAUGGAUAGAUGGAUGGAUUCGGGAAGGAGAAGGAGAUGGUGCUGGUGGUGCGUGGUGGAGAUGGAAUGGAUGGAUAGCUGGGUGGCGCACCGCUACACUCGCCUGGCCGCGGCGGCGGCCAAUGGUGGAGAGGAAGGGGUGAGGGAGAGGAAGAGAGAUGCCAGGCCCCUUUGCAAUGAGGUGCGGCUAGGGAUUUCAUUCCCCUCUCUGAUCUGCCACAUUUGCACAUUAGCCCUCCUCUUCUCUUCAUUUCUGCCCAAGAAGAUCCUCCUCUUCUUUUAG
rnacentral:rRNA from 1 species